rnacentral:lncRNA from 1 species
CUUCUGCCGUCUGAGAUGUUUUUUUGUCUUACAACAUAUCGAAUGGAUUUUUUGGCCAAUGAUGUUGUACAGUAAUGGGGGUUUCAAAACUCACCCUAUAUGACCGAACACUUAUUCUUAUAGGAGUUAUCUCCCCGCGUCCCUUUUUUCUUGUUAUCACUAUAUCUCUAAAACCGUAAAAGAUUUAAGCAAACUGUUUUAACCAAAUUGUUCG